AAAAACGGAAGAAACGGGACUCGGCAGGAUAUCACCUCCUGGGCCUACGUAGUCUGUCAGACACAGACAUCAGAGUCGGCGUAGUUCGGGAACAGGGGAAACGUGCUCGCUAGGAUGUCGCAUCAUAUGCAUACGUAUCUUCUCUAACCAGAGAAGAAUCAGAGCACUCGUAGCUCGGCUAACGCACGCCAAACAAAACACAAACAGGAAACCGACUGCCAAUCGUUGGACUUACA
rnacentral:lncRNA from 1 species